GGGAGCCUCACGUGGGCCGCCGGACCCUGGCCGACGCCCGCAAUAGGCGGAAGUGGCCGGGCUGCAACUUGCAGUUAUUGGCUGUCGGCGGGGGUGGGGACGUUCGAUUCAUUCACCCGAGUAGCACGUGUUUCCCGAAGCUGCAAGCAUAACAGAUCGCACUGGGGCUCAGGCAUCCCGGCUAGACGCAGAUACGCGCUGGCGAGCGGAGAAGAGGUCGCCGGAAAAGCUAACGUUAGCGAAGGGCAGGAGAAAGGAGAAGGCGCUUGUGCCACAUGGGUUACAUGACUGUGUCCUUUAGCAGCUACGUAGCAAGCUCUCAAUUGAUUCUUGAGAUCUGGGGAACUUGGAAAACUUAGCUGAGCUCCUGGGAGGUUGCAGCAGAAGCUGAAGCCAAACAGAGGAGCUGAGACGUGCUGUAGAAGGCUGGCCAAGCCGAGAGAAGAAGAGAUGAGUAUAAGCUCUGGAGGGGUGCAAAGGUGAAGCGCACUCACAAAGGUCAGUCUCCCAGGGUAGAGGGCACGCCCCACCCCUGCUGCCUUCCAAGGUCAGUCAGACUUUCAAUAUCUGAUUCUCAAGGUUCUGGAGAGUGGGCUCUUGAGGCUGGGCUCCAAUAUCACCUCCUCCAAGAGGCCUGCCUAGAUCCUCCCCUCCCCCAAGCCAGAUGUGGUCUCUCAUUCUCUUCUGUCCACCAAAACAAGGUCUUGCCCACAGCAGGUAGAUGUAGAUCACUUUCAUUGGCUCACUCAUAAGGAACAUGGUAGCCUGUCCCAGCUUGCAGCCUUCCAGUUUAUCUAAGCCUCACCAGAACUUUAAAUGACAUCAGCCAUUUACGUGAAUAGAUACAGGAAAUAUCUCUUUCCUACUUCACUUUAGGAAAUAGAUACUACUGUGUUUUGUACUUUCAAGGCACACUUUUUUCCUCCACAUUUUAACCUCUCUAAAACGGGGCUGUACCUUCCAAG
rnacentral:lncRNA from 10 species